AACGCACAUUGCGCCCCUUGGUAUUCCGAGGGGCAUGCCUGUUCGAGCGUCAUUACAACCCUCAAGCAUUGCUUGGUAUUGGGCCCCGCUGCUCACCCAGCGGGCCUUAAAAUCAGUGGCGGUGCCGUCGAGGCCCUGAGCGUAGUAAAUAUCCUCGCUAUAGGGACUCUGUGGACGCUGGCCAUCAACCCCCAAUUUUCUAAGUUUGACCUCGGAUCAGGUAGGGAUACCCGCUGAACUUAA
rnacentral:misc_RNA from 1 species